UACAGAGGAUCCGAGCGUUAUCCGGAUUUAUUGGGUUUAAAGGGUGCGUAGGUGGCCUGUUAAGUCAGGGGUGAAAGACGGUAGCUCAACUAUCGCAGUGCCCUUGAUACUGAUGGGCUUGAAUGAACUAGAGGUAGGCGGAAUGUGACAAGUAGCGGUGAAAUGCAUAGAUAUGUCACAGAACACCAAUUGCGAAGGCAGCUUACUAUGGUUUUAUUGACACUGAGGCACGAAAGCGUGGGGAUCAAACAGG
rnacentral:rRNA from 1 species